UACGUAGGGGGCGAGCGUUGUCCGGAUUUAUUGGGCGUAAAGAGCUCGUAGGCGGUUUGGUAAGUCGGGUGUGAAAUCUCCACGCUCAACGUGGAGGGGCCACUCGAUACUGCCAUGACUAGAGUCCGGUAGGGGAGUGUGGAAUUCCCGGUGUAGCGGUGAAAUGCGCAGAUAUCGGGAGGAACACCAGUGGCGAAGGCGGCACUCUGGGCCGGAACUGACGCUGAGGAGCGAAAGCGUGGGGAGCGAAACAGG
rnacentral:rRNA from 1 species